CCACUGCCAGCUGAGGAGUCUGUAACCACCUUGAGUAGAAGACAAGGCCUGGCUUUCACCAUAGCAGCCCACUCGAGGAGUGUCAUCAUAUGUUUUUAUUAAGAUGGGAAUUUGGAGGAGGCUCUAAAACCAUCUCUGAACCAUAGUCUGUGAUGAAGCUGAUAAAAGGUGCAGUCCUUGGAGGGCUCUGCAGAGAUGAGUCAGAGCUCCUGACGGAGUAAUCAGCGCCCAAGUGGGGCUCCAAGUCCCAGGCCAGCUGCAGCCCCGCUGCCCGCCUUCCAACUGCUCUACGUAUACUGGGAACCCACAAGGGACUUCAGUUUUAAUAUAACUUUUGAUGCUGAAAGAAAAACGUAGGAGAUCCCUGGGGUAUCAG